rnacentral:rRNA from 1 species
GCGGCAGACGGGUGAGUAACGCGUGGGGAUCUGCCCGAUGGUACGGAAUAAUUCCGGGAAACUGGGACUAAUACCGUAUGUGCCCGCAAGGGGAAAGAUUUAUCGCCAUCGGAUGAACCCGCGUCGGAUUAGCUAGUUGGUGUGGUAAAGGCGCACCAAGGCGACGAUCCGUAGCUGGUCUGAGAGGAUGAUCAGCCACACUGGGACUGAGACACGGCCCAGACUCCUACGGGAGGCAGCAGUGGGGAAUAUUGGACAAUGGGCGCAAGCCUGAUCCAGCCAUGCCGCGUGAGUGAUGAAGGCCUUAGGGUUGUAAAGCUCUUUCGCCGGUGAAGAUAAUGACGGUAACCGGAGAAGAAGCCCCGGCUAACUUCGUGCCAGCAGCCGCGGUAAUACGAAGGGGGCUAGCGUUGUUCGGAUUUACUGGGCGUAAAGCGCACGUAGGCGGAUCGUUAAGUCGGGGGUGAAAUCCUGGAGCUCAACUCCAGAACUGCCUUCGAUACUGGNGAUCUUGAGUCCGGAAGAGGUGAGUGGAACUCCUAGUGUGGAGGUGNAAUUCGUAGAUAUUNGGAAGAACACCAGUGGCGAAGGCGGCUCACUGGUCCGGUACUGACGCUGAGGUGCGAAAGCGUGGGGAGCAAAC